rnacentral:rRNA from 1 species
UACGUAGGGUGCAAGCGUUGUCCGGAAUUAUUGGGCGUAAAGAGCUCGUAGGCGGUUUGUUGCGUCGGCUGUGAAAUCCCGAGGCUCAACCUCGGGUCUGCAGUCGAUACGAGCAAACUAGAGUGUUGCAGGGGAGACUGGAAUUCCUGGUGUAGCGGUGAAAUGCGCAGAUAUCAGGAGGAACACCGGUGGCGAAGGCGGGUCUCUGGGCAGUAACUGACGCUGAGGCGCGAAAGCGUGGGGAGCAAACAGG